UUUUAUAAAAUUUAAAACCAAUCGGGGCCACCCGUCCUUCGGUGAAUCAUAGUAAGGGAUAGAAUUGCACGGAAUCUGGCCGGCGAGAGGUCAUUCAAAUUUUUGACCUAUCAAGUUUUGACGGGAGUGUAGCGGACCCCCGUGGCCUUUAAUGGUGAAAGAAAAUUCGGGUUCGGAUUCGGGGAGGGAGCCUGAGAAAAGGCUACCACAUCCAAGGAAAGCAGCAGGAAGGCAAAAUAAACAAACCUGAAACAGGGAGGAAGAGCCAAUAAAAAACUAUCCCGGGCCUCUCAGGUUUGGUAAAUAGAAAUAGGAGAAUUUUAAUCCCUUAAAGAGGAUUCAUUGGAGGGU
rnacentral:rRNA from 1 species